UACAGAGGUCUCAAGCGUUGUUCGGAUUCAUUGGGCGUAAAGGGUGCGUAGGCGGCGCGGUAAGUCGGGUGUGAAAUCUCGGAGCUUAACUCCGAAACUGCAUUCGAUACUGCCGUGCUUGAGGACUGGAGAGGAGACUGGAAUUUACGGUGUAGCGGUGAAACGCGUAGAUAUCGUAAGGAAGACCAGUGGCGAAGGCGGGUCUCUGGACAGUUCCUGACGCUGAGGCACGAAGGUCAGGGGAGCAAACGGG
rnacentral:rRNA from 1 species